CGCAGCUGGCGGCGGCGCCCCCGCCCGCGCCCGCCCCACACGCGCAGCCCGCGCCCACUGCAGCCAAGUAGGAGAAGUUGAAGAGCGUCCACUACACUGAAAGAUUUUUUAUCGCAGCAGGGACUAUUCAAAAAUGGAUAUGUGACGGAAAAGUGUUAGUUUUGUGAUGAAGUGUCUUGUAUUGAUUUGAAAAGUAAUGUCUUUGCGGGAAGUUAAAUAGUGGUGCAGAUUAAAGUCGAAGGACAUUGUUUUGGUGUGAUAGUGUUGUAUCCAAUAUAAUGGAAGGAUAAAGAAGGAAUUUCCCGUAAGAGCGCGACAGAACAAAAUGUCGGUACAUUGAGAAGGCUCACAGUUAGUAUAAUGUAAGUAUAGGAGUGUCGUGAGCGAUAACGCAAUUGGGCAGUAAGUUGGCAUCAACUAAAUUGAAUUGUAUAAAAUGUCACAAGUCGACCAUUAGCUGGAUGAUGUUAGGCUCCUUUAUGGAAUUCAAAGAUGCCAAUGUUAUCGGUGAGUGAGAAAUAAGCCACUUGUAAAUUUCAGGGAGGCUAUGUAAUGUAAAUUGCAUAGGAGACAAUUUAUUUAUGCAAUGAAUUAUAAAUAUUUUCAUAAAGCUUGGUCUCCUCACCAGUUAUGAUUAUUUGUGCCUAUUUAGUUUUAAACCAUAUAUUUAAAGUACUAAAAUGGUCUACUAUCACUCAAAAGGUCAUUGCGCCUCCAUUUUUAUUUAUUUACUUGCAAUGACAUGUGACAGUCUAUGCAGCAGUCCUACUUAAACUGUUAGUAAAUUAAUAUGAGGAUAAAUUAGUUUCUAAUACCUGCUGGCCAGAUGUUUUCAUGUGUAAUUAUAUAAAUCAUUAUGUGGGUUAGAGGCGCCUCAGCAAGUUAUUAAAUGUAAAGUGUUAUUGACUGUCAUUCAUGUAGUUAGUACUAAAUAAAUGUGAUAAGGACUGCUGCCACAUCGUAUUGUUGGAGAUGUGUUGAGGGCACUAGACUAGAACCAGACGCGGACUGCCAGUGCCACCAACUGAUUGAUAACACUAGGUCAAGACUAGUAAAGUGUAUGUUUAUUAAAUUCAAUAAAUUUUUUGUAUCAUUCAGUUCUAGAAAAGGACUAUUGUAUUUUCUUGUAGAAUUUUGGAAUCAUAAAUUACCUGAAUGUGUUCAUCGGCGAGUCCUUUUCAUUCAAAAUCUUGAAUAUACAGACAACUGAUAUUUGUAAAAAAUCUGUAACUCAAAAGCUGUACCUGGUGAUUGUAUCUAUAUAAAAAUAUAACUUUACUAUAAAUCUUCCAAA